GUACAUUUGUGUUAUACACAGUAAACAUUCUAAAACUGAAGCGUUUGUGAUAAACAUAAGAACUAAGACUUUCGCCAUUUGUUCUUACUUGUGGUGCACAGGGGUUGAGAGAGUGGAUGAGCCAGGCGUGCACAUGCCUCUGUUACAAGGCCAGCUACAACCCGUUCAAAAACUCGAUAAUGAUCCUUCCGCAGGUUCACCUACGGAAA
rnacentral:misc_RNA from 1 species